rnacentral:tRNA from 1 species
GUAACCGUAGCUCAGCUGAAUAGAGCCUCACCCUCCGAAGGUGUAUGCACGGGUUUGAAUCCCGUCGGUUACGCCA